UACGAAGGGGGCAAGCGUUGUUCGGAAUUACUGGGCGUAAAGGGCGCGUAGGCGGCUUAUCAAGUCAGGCGUGAAAUUCCCGGGCUCAACCUGGGGGCUGCGCUUGAUACUGAUGAGCUUGAAUGCGGGAGAGGAUAGUGGAAUUCCCAGUGUAGAGGUGAAAUUCGUAGAUAUUGGGAAGAACACCGGUGGCGAAGGCGGCUAUCUGGACCGACAUUGACGCUGAGGCGCGAAAGCGUGGGGAGCAAACAGG
rnacentral:rRNA from 1 species